rnacentral:misc_RNA from 1 species
GUAACAAGGUUUCCGUAGGUGAACCUGCGGAAGGAUCAUUAACCUUUCAAAUCAGGGUGCGGCGCGGCCCCCGAGGAGCGGAAACAAUCCUUGGGAGGUAUGCGGGGGCUUCGAGCCCCCCAUUUACGCACGCACGACUGCCAUCCUUACUUUACGAGCACCUUCUGUUCUCCCUCGGCGGGGCAACCUGCCGUUGGAACCGAAUAAACUCUUUUUGCAUCUAGCAUUACCUGUUCCGAAACAAACAAUCGUUACAACUUUCAACAAUGGAUCUCUUGGCUCUGGCAUCGAUGAAGAACGCAGCGAAAUGCGAUAAGUAGUGUGAAUUGCAGAAUUCAGUGAAUCAUCGAAUCUUUGAACGCACAUUGCGCCCCUCGGUAUUCCGUGGGGCAUGCCUGUUCGAGCGUCAUCUACACCCUCAAGCUCUGCUUGGUGUUGGGCGUCUGUCCCGCCUCCGCGCGUGGACUCGCCCCAAAUUCAUUGGCAGCGGUCCUUGCCUCCUCUCGCGCAGCACAUUGCGCUUCUCGAGGGGCUACGGCUCGCGUCCAACAAGCACAUUUACCGUCUUUGACCUCGGAUCAGGUAGGGAUACCCGCUGAACUUAAGCAUAUCA